rnacentral:lncRNA from 1 species
CAGUGAGGCUGAAUUGGCAUGGCUUGUCAGCACCUCCCUUCCCAGGACAAGAUGGGCGACUUCCUACCAGUAUCAGUUGGACUCUCCCUGGCCUCCUCCCUCGCUGCCUCUGGACUGGGGGCAGGAGGACUUGGCUAUGCAGUAACCGCUACUCAGAAGCUUCAACAACAACUUCGGGAAGCAAUAGAGGCAUCGGCCGCCUCUCUCACUUCCCUACAAAGGCAAAUAACAUCUAUUGCCCAAGUUUCAUUACAGAACCGUCGAGCCCUAGAUCUUCUGAUGACAGACAAAGGAGGAACCUGUCUCUUUCUGAAAGAAGAAUGCUGCUACUAUAUCA